rnacentral:snRNA from 1 species
GACUAUUCCUAAACAGAUACUAAAAUUGGAACAAUACAUAAAGAGAAGAUUAGCAUGAUCCCAACGCAAGGAUAACACACAAAAUCGUGAAGGGUUCCUAAAAAUU